GGCGCCUUGGCCAAGUGGUAAGGCAGGGCACUGCAAAUGCUCUAUCGGGAGUUCAAAUCUCUCAGGCGCCU
rnacentral:tRNA from 1 species